rnacentral:rRNA from 1 species
GACAGAGGUCCCGAGCGUUAGGCGGAAUCACUGGGCUUAAAGCGUGUGUAGGCGGAUCGUUAAGUGCCUUGUGAAAUCCCACGGCUUAACCGUGGAACUGCUUGGCAUACUGGCGGUCUUGAGCCACUUAGGGGCAACCGGAACAAAUGGUGGAGCGGUGAAAUGCGUAGAUAUCAGGAGGAACACCGGUGGCGAAGGCGGGUCUCUGGGCCGAUACUGACGCUGAGGAGCGAAAGCGUGGGGAGCGAACAGG